rnacentral:misc_RNA from 1 species
AAGUCGUAACAAGGUUUCCGUAGGUGAACCUGCGGAAGGAUCAUUAACACUUUUUCAAAAAGGUUUUUCUUUCAAGAAAAACUUAUUUCUACCCACCUUUUGGAUGAACUUUUUUGAUGGAGAUAUGAUAACAUUUUUGUUGUUAUAUUCUUAUCAUUUUUUUCAUUAUUUCAAACUUUUAACCCCAAAAAACCAAUUUAUUUACAAAUUGCUAUAUCUUGAAAAAGCCUAACAUGUGUGUGGGUUUGUGGUGUGAUCAAUGCAAGUUGAUCACCUCCAACUAAAAACUUAUCACUCAAGAAAUCCUAAAAACUAAGAAAACAACUCUUAACAACGGAUAUCUUGGCUCUC